CUAUAUCAGAAAAUGCUUUCUUUUUUCUUCAAAAACCCUAAGAUUGGAGCAUAAUAUUCUCACGUUGUUAAAGUUGGAGAAUUUAGCUAAUUGGCAUGUGGGAAUGACCGAAAGUCUUUCAUUUGGACAAGGGCUUUAUAACUGAGAUCAGACCGUGCCAAUUACAUGGGAUUUCAAGGUUAGUUUGCAACUUGUGAAGAUUAUUAACGACUUGCAGAGGUUUGAAUUAAUAUUUUAAGUCUUAAACUACAUACUAGGUUUGAUAAGUUUAAUUGAUUAGUAACUUGGUUUAUGUGAUAUUUUAUUUGAGGAUCAUUUGGAUAUAUUGAUUUGGAUUAACUAGUGAAUCAUGUGAGGUGGUAAUGGUGCUCAAGAGUUUGGUGAACAACGUUUGGACAAUGGUGAGAAAGUAAAAGCUAAGCUCAGAAUUCAGAUGAGUUUUUUGGCAACACUGGUGAUAGACGAACUGAGGUUGUGUUAGACGAGGGAUCUAAGAGUGUUAAUUUCUUAUUUUUGUACACCUUGUUCGAGUUUUCAUUGCUGAACCGGGUUCGGGGCGUGACACAUUCACCUCUGGAUGACCCACCCGCUUGGCCUUUAUUGUCACCCCAUCAACCUCUUUCGAGACCUCAUCUUUAAGGUAAGUAAUAAAAGAGUCACACUCAAAGGCCAUCUUAGAGAACACUUCUUUAAACUUGAAAGCAUUAUUAAGCAUUUCAUAGGUGGCAUUCCACCUUGUGACGACAUCAAAAGGGAUACUUGACAUCCUAUCAAGUCUCAACAAGACACAGUAUUCCCUAAAAGACUUCAACCUUGUCGGGGAUGAGUGUAUAAACUUCACACAAUUUCUUAUGGCAUCAAUCUCUCACAAAUAAGAUCUGCCAUUCCAUCCUUAACUAUUAAAUUGAGGAUGUGACAAGUGCACCUCAUGUGCAAGUGAGCCAUGUCGAGUAAAAGAGUACCAUUUGACUUGAGUCUUCUUUUCAUGUAUGCAAUAGUGGUGUCAUUUGCACUACCAUUGUCAACGGUAAUGCUAAACACCUUGUCUAUGCCCCAAUCAUUCAAGCAAACCUCUAGACAUCUUCCAAUGUCAUCACCCUUGUGAGAAGUAACUUGGACAAAGUUUAGGAUCCUCU